CCUACGGGGGGCAGCAGUGGGGAAUAUUGCACAAUGGGGGAAACCCUGACGCAGCGACGCCGCGUGAGUGAUGAAGUACUUCGUUACGUAAAGCUCUAUCAGCAGGGAAGAAAAUGACCGUACCUGAGUAACACGCCCCGGCUAACUCCGUGACAGCAGCCGCGGUAAUACGGAGGGGGAAAGCGUUAUCCGGAUUUACUGGGUGUAAAGGGAGCGUAGACGGCAGUGCAAGUCGGGAGUGAAAGGCGGGGGCUCAACCCCCGGACUGCACUGGAAACUGUACGGCUGGAGUGCAGGAGAGGUAAGUGGAAUUCCUAGUGUAGCAGUGAAAUGCGUAGAUAUUGGGAGGAACACCAGUGGCGAAGGCGGGUUACUGGACUGUAACUGACGUUGAGGCUCGAAGGCGAGGGGAGCAAACAGGAUUAGAUACCCGAGUAGUC
rnacentral:rRNA from 1 species